GAUAGGACAGCAUUAUAGGGCUCCACCACCGUGUCUGACACCUUGGGCGAGGGCAUCACACUGAAGGAGUUCAUGAUGCGGUCAGGGUACUCCUCCCGGAUCUUGUUCAUG
rnacentral:miRNA from 1 species